GAUGAACGCUGGCGGCGUGCCUAAUACAUGCAAGUCGAGCGAACAGACGAGGAGCUUGCUCCUCUGACGUUAGCGGCGGACGGGUGAGUAACACGUGGAUAACCUACCUAUAUGACUGGGAUAACUUCGGGAAACCGGAGCUAAUACCGGAUAAUAUAUUGAACCGCAUGGUUCAAUAGUGAAAGACGGUUUUGCUGUCACUUAUAGAUGGAUCCGCGCCGCAUUAGCUAGUUGGUAAGGUAACGGCUUACCAAGGCGACGAUGCGUAGCCGACCUCAUAGAGUGCUCGCCCCUCCCAGAGGCCACAGAGCUUCCAUAUUCAUAAGGCAGGCAGGAGUCGCGUAUUGCCUGCAGUAGUCGGUAGCCUGCCCGAGCGGUCCUGCGUGAGCGAUGCAGGGCCACGGUGCGUAAUUCUCUGUGACCACGGCAGACCAACUGUGCAAGCAUACAAGCCCGUCUUGACGGUAAUUAAUAAACAAGCCCAGGCUAACUACGUG
rnacentral:rRNA from 1 species